rnacentral:rRNA from 1 species
UACGUAGGGAGCAAGCGUUGUCCGGAAUCAUUGGGCGUAAAGCGCGCGUAGGCGGCCCGGUAAGUCCGCUGUAAAAGUCAAAGGCUCAACCUUUGAAUGUCAGUGGAUACUGCCGGGCUAGAGUCCGGAAGAGGCGAGUGGAACUCCUGGUGUAGCGGUGGAAUGCGCAGAUAUCAGGAAGAACACCAACGGCGAAGGCAGCUCGCUGGGACGGAACUGACGCUAAGGCGCGAAAGCGUGGGGAGCGAACAGG